CGCCUGUUUACCAAAAACAUCGCCUCUUGAUAAAUUAUAAGAGGUCCAGCCUGCCCAGUGACAUAGUUAAACGGCCGCGGUAUCCUGACCGUGCGAAGGUAGCAUAAUCACUUGUUCUUUAAAUAAGGACUAGUAUCAACGGCAUCACGAGGGUUACACUGUCUCCUCUCUCCAAUCAGUGAAACUGAUUUCCCCGUGAAGAAGCGGGGAUAAACCUAUAAGACGAGAAGACCCCAUGGAGCUUUAAACUCAACAACAACCUCCCCCACAAAAUUCUACAUAACCCGGAGGUUUUGUUUGUUAGUUUUGGGUUGGGGUGACCGCGGAGAAAAACUAAACCUCCACGACGAACGGAAUUAACUCCUAAUCUAAGAGCCACUGCUCUAAGAAUCAAUAAAUUGACAUAAAAUGAUCCGAUAAUCGAUCAACGAACCAAGUUACCCUGGGGAUAACAGCGCAAUCCAUUUCAAGAGCUCCUAUCGACAAAUGGGUUUACGACCUCGAUGUUGGAUCAGGGUAUCCCAGUGGUGCAGCCGCUACUAAAGGUUUGUUUGUUCAACAAUUAAAACCCUACGUGAUCUGAGUUCAGACCGG
rnacentral:rRNA from 1 species